UCAUCACGAGUGCUCCUGAGAUCAAUCUCCAAUCAUAAUUAGACUGUUUGACAAUUUUCAAGUGAUUGCGAACACAAACCUAGAACUCCCAGGUAUAUUGUCAUAUUGCAUGUGGGUUUAUAAUAUGUUUCGUUAUCAUAACUGAUAUUUAAACUCGCAGAUGUGGUUGGGAAAAUCCGUUCUGUCUAAGGCUCUGGCCUUACAAAGAAACAACUCAAGUCGUUAUCCGUCUCCUCAUUGAUCCUUAAGAAACAAUCAACACACAAUUCCCUUUAUAUUAUUAUCUAUAUUGUCCUAACAUUAAUAAUCAAAAAUAUGUUCUACCCAAAUUCUGUGGUUGUCUAUUUAUCUUCAUUACUUAUCAAACUAAUUUUACACAAACCUUUAUUUUACAGCUUAAAAGAAACCACAACAACCCAAACAAUCAAAAUACCAAAAACUAGAAUUCCAAAAAAGACGAAUCAUUAAUGAUCACCUCUCUUUUUUUUGUCUAAUCUUAGAAAUAAACUUCAAAACAAAUAUAUCAAACCAAUCACCUCAACUAAAACUCAGCGACACAUACAUCGAGUCAGCUAAACAAAUACAAACUACACGGCCAGCUAUUUAACAAUUUACAAACUUACUUUAGUAACGACACAUACAUCGAGUCAGCUAAACAAAUACAAACUAUACGACCAGCUAUUUAACAAUUUACAAACUUACUUUCACAACGAAGAAGACGAAGACGACAACCAAGAUCAGUGAAUUUACCUAAACAAAAAAGCAGAGUAAGUUAUGAACUCUAAUAAAUACAUCUAACAAUGAUUUUUGUUUACAUAUUACCCAUCAAGUAAAAGAUAAACAAACACAGCCACAACAUGAGAUACAAGAGACAAUCCCGACAUACACAAAAGCGGCAACAACAUCUCCACCUGCUCACUCCUCUUGUCUUAUAAAAAUAGCUUACAUGCCUAAUGUCAACAUGUCAAAGCUAUUGUCUUCUUAUGAGAAAUACAUAAAUUCGUUUAAAACUCAUUAAAGCCUAAAUACUCAGAACUGUCACUCAUUUUAUAGUUAUUUUUACAGGUCUUCAUGUAUUUGUUUUAAUAGUCCGGUAAGCAAUAAAUUUAAAAAUAAAAUAAAAACAUAUAACAAACAUAAUAAGGAUA
rnacentral:lncRNA from 1 species